rnacentral:rRNA from 1 species
GCUAAUACCUGAUAAGUCUUUACGGAGAAAGCUUUAUGCACCAUUGGAUGAGCCUGCACUUGAUUAGUUAGUUGGUGGGGUAAAGGCCUACCAAGACUUUGAUCAAUAGCUGAUUUGAGAGGAUGAUCAGCCACAUUGGGACUGAGACACGGCCCAAACUCCUACGGGAGGCAGCAGUGGGGAAUCUUGCACAAUGGAGGAAACUCUGAUGCAG